GUUAGCCAGGCUGGUCUCAAACUUCUGACCUCAAGUGAUCCGCCCACCUCGGCCUCCCAAAGUGCUGGGAUUACAGCUGUGAGCCACAAUGUCUGGCUAGACGACUGAAGAUCUUGAAUGAAAAAUAAUUCUAAUUUUUGUUUAUUCACCCUGCAUCUUAGCAGGUAUAGUGUAAAAGUUAGGAGCAAAAACUCUAGAGCCAAACUCCCUGAUUUUGAUUUCUCUCUCUUUCAUGUGUCCAGUGACCUUGGGCAAGUUACUUAACCUCCCUGUACUUCAGUUUUGUCACCUGUUAAAUGAAGGAUAAUGAGAUAGGUAACAGAAACAUGCAAAGAUGUAUAUCAACAGCACAUGAGUAGCACCUUGUUUGGAAGGCAAGUUUCCCCCAGAUUGCAUGGGUCACACAUUUGGCUCAGGACAGCGUACAAGUCUGUUUUAGAAAACAUACACACACAAAAGAAAGGAAAAAGGGGAAAUACUUGUGCCCUGCAAUUCUCCUCUUGACAGCUGAAGAAUGGGGCUUGACUUUCUGGGAAUAGCUUGUUUCCAAAAAAAAAAAAAAGAAUGUAAUUUAAAAAGGUAACUAUAUCUGACUUUGCUCAUUUUAAUGAAAUUCAAGCUAAUUCAUUUUUAUCAAUCACUAAAUAAUUAGUAACUUUAUUAACUACUAGUAAUACUAGUCAUAACCUCAUAGUAUUUGUAAAGUUUAAAAAAGGAAUCUAAAGGGAAAAAAAGUUUAGUCUUUGUAAGGUUGACAAAUCUGUAAACAAAUCUUAUAAAGAUAGCACACUUCAAUUUGUAAAAUCAUUUUGUCACUACUGCAAAAAUUAAAAUGUAGUGAAAAUUUGAAGUUGUAGAAUGAUAAAUGUAUGAGUUAGAAUGUUUGGGCUUACCUUUUUAUUACAAGUAUUAAAAAAAACCUUUUGAGAUUAGACACUACAUGAAAAUAGUAUUUGUUUUCUAUGGAAUACUUUUUUAGCUCUCUUUAGGAUAUUAAGGAAGCAUCUGUGAUAUCCCAGCAAAGAAUACCUUUUUUGGCUGGGCACGGUGGCUCACUCCUGUAAUCCCAGCACUUUGGGAGGCGAAAGCAGGCAGAUCACCUGAGCUCAGGAGGUUGAGACCAGCCUGGCUAAC